GGAAGGGUCGCUCAGCGGUAGAGUACCGCGGUGCCACCGCGGCGGCCUCACAGCCUCGUGGCGUUCAAAUCCCACCCCUUCCG
rnacentral:tRNA from 1 species